GCUCGAGGCGUGGACUAGCACGGAUUGAGGCGGCGGCUAAAGCCCGGGCACUAGAUAUGCCUGCAGAACGCCGUCGCCCCGAUUGUGGUGGACAGCGCGUGCCUCCGGCGUGCUCCGCUGCGCGCUCCCGACACUUGCCAGCGGGCUCCCCGUUCGACUCGUAUUGAAACAUGGACCAAGGAGUCCGACAUGUGUGCGAGUCAACGGGCGAGCAAACCCGUAAGGCGUAAGGAAGCUGACUAGGGCGAUCCCCCCCGAGGGAUGCAACGCAGACCAACCUUGAUCUUUUGAGAAGGGUUCUAGUGAGCAAACCUGUCGGGACCCGAAAGAUGGUGAACUAUGCCUGAGCGGGGAGAAGCUAGAGGAAACUCUGGUGGAGGCCCGCAGCGUACUGACGUGCAAAUCGUUCGUCUAACUUGGGUAUAGUGGCGAAAGACUAAUCGAACCGUCUAGUAGCUGGUUCCCUCCGAAGUUUCCCUCAGGAUAGCUGGAGCUCGAGCGCGAGUUCUAUCGGGUAAAGCCAAUGAUUAGAGGCAUUAAGGGCUCAACGCCCUCGACCUAUUUUCAAACUUUAAAUAGGUAGGACGGCGCGACUGCUUCGUUGAGCCGCUCCAGGGAAUCGAGUGCUCCAAGUGGGCCAUUUUUGUUAAGCAGAAUUGUCGAUGCGGGAUGAACCAGAAGCCGGGUUACGGUGCCCAACUGCACGCUAACCUAGAUCCCACAAAGGGUGUUGGUCGAUUAAGACAGCAGGACGGUGAUCAUGGAAGUUGAAAUUCGCUAAGGAGUGUGUAACAACUCACCUGCCGAAUCAACUAGCUCCGAAAAUGGAUGGCGCUAAAGCGCACGACCUAUACUCGACCGUUGGGGCAAAGGCCAAGCCCCGAUGAGUAGGAGGGCGCGACAGUCGCUGCAAAACCUUGGGCGCGAGCCCGGGCGGAGCGGCCGUCGGUGCGAAUCUUGGUGGUAGUAGCAAAUAUUCAAAUGAGAACUUUGAAGGCCGAAGACGGGAAAGGUUCCAUGUGAACGACACUUGCACAUGGGUUAGUCGAUCCUAAGGGUCAGGGGAAGCCUGACAGACAGCGCGUUCAGCGCGUGCUCCGAAAGGGAAUCGGGUUAAAAUUCUUGAACCAGGACGCGGCAGCUGACGGCAAUGUUAGGGAGUCCGGAGACGUCGGCGGGGGCCUUAGGAAGAGUUAUCUUUUCUGUUUAACAGCUUGCCCGCCCUGGAAACGGCUCAGCAGAAGGUAGGGUCCAGCGGCUGGAAGAGCACCGCACGUCGUGUGGUGUCAGGUGCGCCCCCGACGGCUCUUGAAAAUCCAGAGGACUGAGUGCCAUCCGCGCCCGGUUGUACUCAUAACCGCAUCAUGUCUCCAAGGUGAACAACCUUUGGUCGAUGGAAUAAUCUAGGCAAGGGAAGUCGAAAAAAUGGAUCCGUAACCUUGGGAAAAGGAUUGGCUCUGAGGGCUGGGCACGGCGAUCCCAAUUCCGAACCCAUCGACUGUCGACGAACUGCUCGAGCUGCUCCUGUGGCGAGAGCAGGUCGUCACGUGCCGGUCAGGGGACGGACUGGGAACGGCUCCCUCGGGGGCCUUCCCCGGGCGUCGAAUAGCCGACUCAAAACUAGUAUGGACAAGGGGAAUCCGACUAUUUAAUUAAAACAAAGCAUUGCGAUGGUCCCUGCGGAUGCUCACGCAAUGUGAUUUCUGCCUAGUUCUCUGAAUGUCAAAGUGAAGAAAUUCAACCAAGUGCGGGUAAACGGCGGGAGUAACUAUCAUUAACUUAAGGUAGCCAAAUGCAUUGCCAUCUAAUUAGUAACGCGCAUGAAUGGAUUAAUGAGAUUCCCACUAUCCCUAUCUACUAUCCAGCGAAAUCACAGCCUAGGGAACAGGCCUGGUGGAAUCAUCGGGGAAACAAGACCCUGUUGAGCUUGACUUUAGUCCGACUUUGUGAAAUGACUUGAGAGGUGUAGGAUAAGUGGGAGCCGAAAGGCGAAAGUGAAAUACCAUUAAUUUUAACGUUAAUUUACUUAUUCCGUGAAUCAGAGGCGGGACACUGCCCCUCUUUUUGGACCCAAGGCACGCUUCGGUUAGCCGAUACGGGCGGAAGACAUUGUCAGGUGGGGAGUUUGGCUAGGGUGGCACAUCUGUUAAAAAAUAACGCAGGUGUCCUAAGAUGAGCUCAACGAGAAGAGAAAUCUCGUGUGGAAUAGAAGAGUAAAAGCUCGUUUGAUUCUUUGCAGACGACUUAAAUACGCGACAGGGUAUUGUAAGCGGUAGAGUGGCAUUGUUGCCACGAUCCACUGAAAUUCAGCGCUUUGUCGUUUUUUGAUUCGUCCCUUCCCCCUCCAUGCCCCUCCCACCCUCCUUGUUUUGUCCAAAAUGGCCUGGAGGAUACCGACGCCCGACCUCUGGCUCGUGGCCCGACAGCCACGAGAAUAUGCCCAACAGCCCAGUGGAAACGGGCGUCGUCCUUGGCUACAAUAGGUCGGCAGGACGUUGCCCGUGAGCGCUGCGGCGUCUGCCCCAACGUGCCCACAUCGGCAGGCGUGCAUCGCGGGCGUGCAUCGACAGUGGUCUGCCCAAGCCUACGCGCACGUCGGUAGAGGUUUGCCCAAGCCUGCGCGCACGUCGGUAUUGGUCGGCCUAGGCCUGAGCGCACGUCGGCAUUGGUUGGCCAGACCUCCGCGCACGUCGGCUAUGGUCGGCCAGGACACUCGCACGUCGGCAGUGGUCAGCCCAAGCGCACACGUGCAUCGACAGUGGUCUGCCCAGCCCUGCGUGCACGUCAGCAAUGGUUGGCCAAGGAGCGCGCUCACGUAGGCAGGGGCUGCCUGCUCGCGGGCGUGAUUCGGUAGGGG
rnacentral:rRNA from 1 species